UGUUAUAUGAUGAUAACUUUCUCAGCUCACUCAGAUCUUUUGAAAUGAUUGAUAAAAAUUUCCUAUCCAACAUUCAUCAAUGUAUCUGACCAAAACA
rfam:Saccharomyces arboricola H-6 chromosome VIII, whole genome shotgun sequence.